UCCGUGGUGACGCGAAAUCUGAAGGAAGUCAGCGGUAAAUCUCCGGUCUGAGGAACAUGAACUUCAUAUAAGGAUAGGUAUCAUUUGGGGAGAUUGCAACACAAAUCAAAGUCUUUACAUAAUCUAUAGAUUAUUAAGUUUGUUAUGGUGACAAAUAGAGAAGAAAUGAAAUGU
rnacentral:ncRNA from 1 species